rnacentral:tRNA from 1 species
AGAUAGAACAGAAAAUGGUAAGCACUGCUAAUUCUUACCCCCACGGUUAAAAUCCAUGGCUUUCUC